rnacentral:rRNA from 1 species
CCUACGGGUGGCAGCAGUGAGGAAUAUUGGUCAAUGGCCGUAAGGCUGAACCAGCCAAGUAGCGUGAGGGAAGACAGCCCUAUGGGUUGUACACCUCUUUUAUGCGGGGAUAAAGGAGUCCACGUGUGGAUGUUUGCAGGUACCGCAUGAAUAAGGACCGGCUAAUUCCGUGCCAGCAGCCGCGGUAAUACGGGAGGUCCGGGCGUUAUCCGGAUUUAUUGGGUUUAAAGGGAGCGUAGGGGGGGCUUUAGGCGUGGCGUGAAAUUUGGUGGCUCAACCAGGAGAGUGCGGCGCGAACUGGGGGCCUUGAGUGCGCGAGAGGCAGGCGGAAUUCGUGGGGUAGCGGUGAAAUGCUUAGAUAUCGCGAGGAACCCCGAUUGCGAAGGCAGCCUGCCGCAGCGUUACUGACGCUGAGGCUCGAAAGCGCGGGUAUCGAACAGGAUUAGAUACCCUUGUAGUC